rnacentral:lncRNA from 1 species
CACGCCAUCACCAAACACCAUGGCAUCUACUGUAACCAAAUUACCAAAACCCAAGAUGAGAAAUCUUCUCACCUCCAGACUUCCUUUAGAACUAGCAAUUGGAACAGCUGUUUCUAUUUCAUUUGGUUUGGCCUGGAAAUUUGGAGUUCAACUCCCAAGAAAAGCUAAAUAUGCUGAAUUCUACAAAACUUAUGAUGCUGAAGCUGACUUUCAGAGAAUGAAAAAAGCUGGGGUUUUCCAAUGUGUAGAUGCUGAGGGAAACAUAAACACAGACUUUUAAUGGAAUUAGAGAAUUAGAUCCUUGGUUCUUUGGUUAAAACAAAAUUUACAGAAACAGCACCAACCAAACCAUUUUGUAUUUAUGUUGACCUCAUAAUAAAAAUGUUUUUAA